GAUGGAGUGCCUGAAUAAAGGAUUAUUUUGAUAGAAUAAAUCAUGUAAUUUACUUACCUCUAUUA
rnacentral:tRNA from 2 species